AAGUCGUAACAAGGUUUCCGUAGGUGAACCUGCGGAAGGAUCAUUAACAUGGGGACAUGAGGGGGCAAUGCGCUCAUGAGGGGAAUUCGCUCAUGAGUGGAGUUGCCUUUUUUCACGCUUGUCUUUGUUUGUCAAAAUAGAUGGAACCUUGUGAUAACUUUUAACAAUGGAUCUCUUGGCUCUU
rnacentral:misc_RNA from 1 species